rnacentral:lncRNA from 1 species
GGAGCCGGCCCUGCAUGCCCCCAGCCCGUGCUCCUGUCUCUUUGACAUUCCAGCCUCGCAAGGAGCUACCAGCAGUGCAGAUAAUACAAAGGGACUCCAACAUGUGUACACACACAUGUACCAGGCUGACCCUCCCCUCUUGUAGGUUCCAGGAGAACAACAUGAGACGGAUAGAGGUGAGAGGGGCCCUGGGGAGGGUGCUGUGACCCCCAGGCUAGGCUGAGGGAUGGGGUACAGCCAGGUCAUGCAUCCCAUGAACCGUGGUUUUGGGGGAGACGACCUUUCUGGGCACUGACCUUGAUCCCUUGCACCAGAGGGCAAAGGGCG